ACGUAGGGGGCAAACGUUAUCCGGAUUUACUGGGCGUAAAGCGCGUGUAGGUGGUUUGGUAAGUAGAGCGUGAAAGCUCCUGGCUCAACUGGGAGAGUUCGUUCUAAACUGCCGGACUUGAGGAUGGUAGAGGGUGGUGGAAUUCCGGGUGUAGCGGUGAAAUGCGAAAAUCUCCGGAGGAACACCAGUGGCGAAAGCGGCUACCUGGACCACUCCUGACACUGAGUCGCGAAAGCUAGGGUAGCAAACGG
rnacentral:rRNA from 1 species